CGUCUGUCUCUGUUGCUUUGUCUAGGAGGUCGUGCGGUAGAACAAAACAAAAACAAAACAAAACAAACCCACUCUCGCUCCUCUCUGCUGAUUAUUCAAUCGCCAUUUUCCUUGAACCCCAAAUCCCCUUUUCUCCCUCUGUCAAAUUUUAGGGUUCAAAAUGUUCUCCUGUCUUUUGCAAGCUCAGCUCCGAUCCGCCCAUGGCGUUUCUUCCACUUUUUUGGAGUUUACUAAGCGCCGGUUUAUGCCCCCAAGGUUGAGACAUGGAAGCCAUAGUUGGUGUAAGAUUGAUGCAGCCUGUUGAGUGAUUGGAAGAAGGCAGUGUAGGGGAUUUUGUGCAUCGGUUAAUAUUUCAGGUUUGGCAGAGGGAAUGAAGCCACUGGUCCGCUGAGCAUAGUGAUGUAUGUAAUACAUUGAUAUUUUUGUAAAUUGAUCUGAUUUCUUCAUAUCAAUUUCAAUUUCCAUAUCUUCUUCAUC